AUUUAAGUAGCUUAUAAAUAGAGUAUAAUAUUGAAGAUAUUAGGGAAAUAAAUUUAUUCUUAAAUA
rnacentral:tRNA from 1 species